CAGUAGCCGCGGGAAAACGGAGGGAGCGAGCGUUGUUCGGAAUUACUGGGCGUAAAGGGUGCGCAGGCGGCUUUGUAAGUUGGGAGUGAAAUCCCUGGGCUUAACCCAGGAAUUGCUUUCAAAACUACAAGGCUAGAGUCUCGGAGAGGUUAGCGGAAUUCCCAGUGUAGAGGUGAAAUUCGUAGAUAUUGGGAGGAACACCAGUGGCGUAAGCGGCUAACUAGACGAGUACUGACGCUCAGGCACGAAAGCGUGGGGAUCAAACAGGAUUAGAUACCCCCGUAGUCCCUGUCUCUUAUAA
rnacentral:rRNA from 1 species